GGAGAGAUGGCUGAGUUGGUCUAAGGCGCACGACUGGAAAUCGUGUAUGCACUGAUACUGCAUCUAGGGUUCGAAUCCCUAUCUCUCCGCCA
rnacentral:tRNA from 1 species